UAAGAGGUCCCGCCUGCCCUGUGACUAUAUGUUUAACGGCCGCGGUAUUUUGACCGUGCAAAGGUAGCGCAAUCACUUGUCUUUUAAAUGGAGACCUGUAUGAAUGGCAUAACGAGGGCUUAACUGUCUCCUUUUUCAAGUCAAUGAAAUUGAUUUCCCCGUGCAGAAGCGGGGAUAAGACCAUAAGACGAGAAGACCCUAUGGAGCUUUAGACACCAAAGCAGAUCAUGUUAAACACCCCUAAAUAAAGGACCAAACCAGGUGAUUCCUGCCCUAAUGUCUUUGGUUGGGGCGACCGCGGGGAAACAAAAAACCCCCAUGUGGAAUGGGAACACCCUCUCCUAAAACUAAGAGCUCCCGCUCUAAUAGACAGAACUUCUGACCAAUCAGAUCCGGCAACGCCGAUCAACGGACCGAGUUACCCUAGGGAUAACAGCGCAAUCCUCUUUUAGAGCCCAUAUCGACAAGAGGGUUUACGACCUCGAUGUUGGAUCAGGACAUCCUAAUGGUGCAGCCGCUAUUAAGGGUUCGUUUGUUCAACG
rnacentral:rRNA from 1 species